GUUAAAAAGCUCGUAGUUGGAGUUCUGCCAGGUGCCGCCUGUCCGCCCCAGUGGUAAGUACGUGGCGCGCAUUUGGCCCUUUCAAGGGGAGCGUAUCUGCACUUAACUGUGUGGUGCGGGAUCCUUGACUUUUACUUUGAGGAAAUAAGAGUGUUCCAAGCAGGCUCCCGUCGUGCAUAGCUCAGCAUGGAAUAAUAGCAUUGGACCUCGAUUCUAAGCUGUUGGUUGCCAGAAACGAGGUAAUGAUGAAGAGGGAUAGUUGGGGGCAUUCGUAUUUAACUGUCAGAGGUGAAAUUCUUGGAUUUGUUAAAGACGAACUACUGCGAAAGCAUCUGCCAUGGAUGUUUUCAUUGAUCAAGAACGAAAGUUAGGGGAUCGAAGACGAUCAGAUACCGUCCUAGUCUUAACUAUAAACCAUGCCGGCUAGAGAUCGGAGGUUGUUCGUUUUGUGACGCCUUCAGCAUCUUGAGAGGAAUCAAAGCCUUUGGGUUCCGGGGGGAGUAUGGUCGCAAGGCUGAAACUUAAAGGAAUUGACGGAAGGGCACCACCAGGAGUGGAGCCUGCGGCUUAAUUUGACUCAACACGGGGAAACUCACCAGGUCCAGACUGGGUAAGGAUGUACAGAUUGACAGCUCUUUACAGAUUCUCAGGGUGGUGGUGCAUGGCCGUUCUUAGUUGGUGGAGUGAUUUGUCUGGUUAAUUCCGUUAA
rnacentral:rRNA from 1 species